GACGAACCGUCCGAACGUUAUUCGGAAUCACUGGGCUUAAAGGGUGCGUAGGCGGCGCGGAAAGUUGGGUGUGAAAUCCCUCGGCUUAACCGAGGAAUGGCGCCCAAAACUACCGUGCUCGAGGGAGAUAGAGGUGAGCGGAACUUAGGGUGGAGCGGUGAAAUGCGUUGAUAUCCUAAGGAACACCGGUGGCGAAAGCGGCUCACUGGAUCUCUUCUGACGCUGAGGCACGAAAGCUAGGGUAGCGAACGGG
rnacentral:rRNA from 1 species